UUAAGCGACUAAGCGUACACGGUGGAUGCCCUGGCAGUCAGAGGCGAUGAAGGACGUGCUAAUCUGCGAAAAGCGUCGGUAAGGUGAUAUGAACCGUUAUAACCGGCGAUGUCCGAAUGGGGAAACCCAGUGUGAUUCGUCACACUAUCGUUAACUGAAUACAUAGGUUAACGAGGCGAACCGGGGGAACUGAAACAUCUAAGUACCCCGAGGAAAAGAAAUCAACCGAGAUUCCCCCAGUAGCGGCGAGCGAACGGGGAGCAGCCCAGAGUCUGAAUCAGCUUGUGUGUUAGUGGAACGGUCUGGAAAGUCCGACGGUACAGGGUGAUAGUCCCGUACACCAAAAUGCACAGGCUGUGAACUCGAAGAGUAGGGCGGGACACGUGGUAUCCUGUCUGAAUAUGGGGGGACCAUCCUCCAAGGCUAAAUACUCCUGACUGACCGAUAGUGAACCAGUACCGUGAGGGAAAGGCGAAAAGAACCCCGGCGAGGGGAGUGAAAAAGAACCUGAAACCGUGUACGUACAAGCAGUGGGAGCACCUUCGGGUGUGACUGCGUACCUUUUGUAUAAUGGGUCAGCGACUUAUAUUCUGUAGCAAGGUUAACCGUAUAGGGGAGCCGCAGGGAAACCGAGUCUUAACUGGGCGUUAAGUUGCAGGGUAUAGACCCGAAACCCGGUGAUCUAGCCAUGGGCAGGUUGAAGGUUGGGUAACACUAACUGGAGGACCGAACCGACUAAUGUUGAAAAAUUAGCGGAUGACUUGUGGCUGGGGGUGAAAGGCCAAUCAAACCGGGAGAUAGCUGGUUCUCCCCGAAAGCUAUUUAGGUAGCGCCUCGUGAACUCAUCUUCGGGGGUAGAGCACUGUUUCGGCUAGGGGGUCAUCCCGACUUACCAACCCGAUGCAAACUACGAAUACCGAAGAAUGUUAUCACGGGAGACACACGGCGGGUGCUAACGUCCGUCGUGAAGAGGGAAACAACCCAGACCGCCAGCUAAGGUCCCAAAGUCAUGGUUAAGUGGGAAACGAUGUGGGAAGGCACAGACAGCCAGGAUGUUGGCUUAGAAGCAGCCAUCAUUUAAAGAAAGCGUAAUAGCUCACUGGUCGAGUCGGCCUGCGCGGAAGAUGUAACGGGGCUAAACCAUGCACCGAAGCUGCGGCAGCGACACUAUGUGUUGUUGGGUAGGGGAGCGUUCUGUAAGCCUGCGAAGGUGACCUGUGAGGGUUGCUGGAGGUAUCAGAAGUGCGAAUGCUGACAUAAGUAACGAUAAAGCGGGUGAAAAGCCCGCUCGCCGGAAGACCAAGGGUUCCUGUCCAACGUUAAUCGGGGCAGGGUGAGUCGACCCCUAAGGCGAGGCCGAAAGGCGUAGUCGAUGGGAAACAGGUUAAUAUUCCUGUACUUGGUGUUACUGCGAAGGGGGGACGGAGAAGGCUAUGUUAGCCGGGCGACGGUUGUCCCGGUUUAAGCAUGUAGGCUGAUUAUCCAGGCAAAUCCGGAUAAUCAAGGCUGAGGUGUGAUGACGAGGCACUACGGUGCUGAAGUAACAAAUGCCCUGCUUCCAGGAAAAGCCUCUAAGCAUCAGGUAACAUCAAAUCGUACCCCAAACCGACACAGGUGGUCAGGUAGAGAAUACCAAGGCGCUUGAGAGAACUCGGGUGAAGGAACUAGGCAAAAUGGUGCCGUAACUUCGGGAGAAGGCACGCUGGUGUGUAGGUGAAGUCCCUGCGGAUGGAGCUGAGACCAGUCGAAGAUACCAGCUGGCUGCAACUGUUUAUUAAAAACACAGCACUGUGCAAACACGAAAGUGGACGUAUACGGUGUGACGCCUGCCCGGUGCCGGAAGGUUAAUUGAUGGGGUUAUCCGUAAGGAGAAGCUCUUGAUCGAAGCCCCGGUAAACGGCGGCCGUAACUAUAACGGUCCUAAGGUAGCGAAAUUCCUUGUCGGGUAAGUUCCGACCUGCACGAAUGGCGUAAUGAUGGCCAGGCUGUCUCCACCCGAGACUCAGUGAAAUUGAACUCGCUGUGAAGAUGCAGUGUACCCGCGGCAAGACGGAAAGACCCCGUGAACCUUUACUAUAGCUUGACACUGAACAUUGAGCCUUGAUGUGUAGGAUAGGUGGGAGGCUUUGAAGCGUGGACGCCAGUCUGCGUGGAGCCAACCUUGAAAUACCACCCUUUAAUGUUUGAUGUUCUAACGUUGGCCCCUGACCGGGGUUGCGGACAGUGUCUGGUGGGUAGUUUGACUGGGGCGGUCUCCUCCCAAAGCGUAACGGAGGAGCACGAAGGUUAGCUAAUCCUGGUCGGACAUCAGGAGGUUAGUGCAAUGGCAUAAGCUAGCUUGACUGCGAGCGUGACGGCGCGAGCAGGUGCGAAAGCAGGUCAUAGUGAUCCGGUGGUUCUGAAUGGAAGGGCCAUCGCUCAACGGAUAAAAGGUACUCCGGGGAUAACAGGCUGAUACCGCCCAAGAGUUCAUAUCGACGGCGGUGUUUGGCACCUCGAUGUCGGCUCAUCACAUCCUGGGGCUGAAGUAGGUCCCAAGGGUAUGGCUGUUCGCCAUUUAAAGUGGUACGCGAGCUGGGUUUAGAACGUCGUGAGACAGUUCGGUCCCUAUCUGCCGUGGGCGCUGGAGAAUUGAGGGGGGCUGCUCCUAGUACGAGAGGACCGGAGUGGACGCAUCACUGGUGUUCGGGUUGUCAUGCCAAUGGCACUGCCCGGUAGCUAAAUGCGGAAGAGAUAAGUGCUGAAAGCAUCUAAGCACGAAACUUGCCCCGAGAUGAGUUCUCCCUGAGACUAUAAGUCUCCUGAAGGAACGUUGAAGACGACGACGUUGAUAGGCCGGGUGUGUAAGCGCAGCGAUGCGUUGAGCUAACCGGUACUAAUGAACCGUGAGGCUUAACCUU
rnacentral:rRNA from 1 species